rnacentral:rRNA from 1 species
CCUACGGGUGGCAGCAGUGGGGAAUAUUGCACUAUGGGGGAAACCCUGAUGCAGCGACGCCGCGUGAGUGAAGAAGUAAUUCGUUAUGUAAAGCUCUAUCAGCAGGGAAGAAAAUGACGGUACCUGAGUAAGAAGCCCCGGCUAACUACGUGCCAGCAGCCGCGGUAAUAAGUAGGGGGCAAGCGUUAUCCGGAUUUACUGGGUGUAAAGGGAGCGUAGACGGCAGUGCAAGUCUGGAGUGAAAGGCGGGGGCGCAACCCCCGGACUGCUGUGGAAACUGUACGGCUGGAGGGCAGGAGAGGUAAGUGGAAUUCCUAGUGUAGCGGGGAAAUGCGUAGAUAUUAGGAGGAACACCAGUGGCGAAGGCGGCUUACUGGACUGUAACUGACGUUGAGGCUCGAAAGCGUGGGGAGCAAACAGGAUUAGAUACCCUUGUAGUC